ACAGGAUACAUUUUGAUGGUUUUAACUCGGGCUAUAGAUUAUAGUUACUCUGUUCUAAAMAAAUAUUUCCCACAAACUGAAAAACUAUUUGUUAAGACAUAUAAAUAGAUGUAGAGCAUCUAUGUGGAAUAUUUAUUGCAGUGGAAUAAUUAUUACUGGCAAAUUCAUGCAUAACAAUGGGAUCUUCUCCAGCUCUUAUAUUGACAUUGUUAAUCGUCCUCUUUCAAAUACAUCAUUCCGAAGGAUCAUGCGGUAGUUGUACUUUCCCGGRAACCUGCAGCAAACUAAAGUGUUGYMAARCAA